rnacentral:rRNA from 1 species
AGAGUUUGAUCAUGGCUCAGAACGAACGCUGGCGGCGUGCUUAACACAUGCAAGUCGUACGAGAAAGUCUCUUCGGAGAUGAGUAAAGUGGCGCACGGGUGAGUAACACGUAGGUAACCCGCCUCAGGGACCGGGACAACCUGCCGAAAGGUGGGCUAAUACCGGAUCAGACCACAGGGGCUCCGGCCUCGGCGGUCAAAGUUGGCCUCUGCUUGCAACCUGACGCCAUGAGAUGGGCCUGCGGACCAUUAGCUCGUUGGCAGGGUAACGGCCUACAAAGGCCGAUAUUCUAGCUGCACUCACAGGACGAUCAAUCUCCUGGGACUGACACCCUCCCCGACUCCAACCCCAGGCACCCCGGGCAUCUUGCG